rnacentral:rRNA from 1 species
GAUGAACGCUGGCGGCGUGCCUAAUACAUGCCAGUCGAGCGAACGGACGAGAAGCUUGCUUCUCUGAUGUUAGCGGCGGACGGGUGAGUAACACGUGGAUAACCUACCUAUAAGACUGGGAUAACUUCGGGAAACCGGAGCUAAUACCGGAUAAUAUUUUGAACCGCAUGGUUCAAAAGUGAAAGACGGUCUUGCUGUCACUUAUAGAUGGAUCCGCGCUGCAUUAGCUAGUUGGUAAGGUAACGGCUCACCAAGGCAACGAUGCAUAGCCGACCUGAGAGGGUGAUCGGCCACACUGGAACUGAGACACGGUCCAGACUCCUACGGGAGGCAGCAGUAGGGAAUCUUCCGCAAUGGGCGAAAGCCUGACGGAGCAACGCCGCGUGAGUGAUGAAGGUCUUCGGAUCGUAAAACUCUGUUAUUAGGGAAGAACAUAUGUGUAAGUAACUGUGCACAUCUUGACGGUACCUAAUCAGAAAGCAACGGCUAACUACGUG